rnacentral:rRNA from 1 species
AUUGAACGCUGGCGGCAGGCUUAACACAUGCAAGUCGAGCGGAGACUUCGGUCUUAGCGGCGAACGGGUGAGUAAUACCUAGGAAUCUGCCUAUUAGUGGGGGAUAACGGCUCGAAAGGGUCGCUAAUACCGCAUACGUCCUACGGGAGAAAGUGGGGGAUCUUCGGACCUCACGCUAAUAGAUGAGCCUAGGCCGGAUUAGCUAGUUGGUAGGGUAAAGGCCUACCAAGGCGACGAUCCGUAGCUGGUCUGAGAGGAUGAUCAGCCACACUGGAACUGAGACACGGUCCAGACUCCUACGGGAGGCAGCAGUGGGGAAUAUUGGACAAUGGGGGCGAACCCUGAUCCAGCCAUGCCGCGUGUGUGAAGAAGGCCUCGUGU